rnacentral:rRNA from 1 species
GACGAACGCUGGCGUCGUGCCUAAUACAUGCAAGUAGAACGCUGAAGGAGGAGCUUGCUUCUCUGGAUGAGUUGCGAACGGGUGAGUAACGCGUAGGUAACCUGCCUGGUAGCGGGGGAUAACUAUUGGAAACGAUAGCUAAUACCGCAUAAGAGUAGAUGUCGCACGACAUUUGCUUAAAAGGUGCAAUUGCAUCACUACCAGAUGGACCUGCGUUGUAUUAGCUAGUUGGUGAGGUAACGGCUCACCAAGGCAACGAUACAUAGCCGACCUGAGAGGGUGAUCGGCCACACUGGGACUGAGACACGGCCCAGACUCCUACGGGAGGCAGCAGUAGGGAAUCUUCGGCAAUGGACGGAAGUCUGACCGAGCAACGCCGCGUGAGUGAAGAAGGUUUUCGGAUCGUAAAGCUCUGUUGUAAGAGAAGAACGAGUGUGAGAGUGGAAAGUUCACACUGUGACGGUAUCUUACCAGAAAGGGACGGCUAACUACGUG